GACGCUUGUGUCGACUUGAGUCGCUAAAUGAAAAGCACACAAUAGAUACUUACAUACAGUAAUUUGAUAAAAAAAAAGAAAAGAAGAAGUAACCUGAAAGAAGAUAAACAUGGCAAUAAAACUAUUUCAAUGAAGAACUUGCAGUCAUUGCAAGCUGUUGGAAAAAUAGUUUUGACGAAGGUUGAUACAAAUAACUAUAAUCAUCUGCAAGAAAAAAUGGAUUCUGUCGUCUCUCAACAAAAUAGUCAUACUAAUGAACAACUAAAUCAAAGGAAAAACAGAUGUAACAAUAGUUUCACAAGAAUCUCAGGAUAAAUUUAUAUGGACAAAACAAGCCACUUUUGCGCUUUUAUCUGCUUAUGAAGCUCGAAAUAUUGAAACAGAUACUACAAAAAAAAAAAUAAAAAAUUUUGGCAGUCAAUAACUAUUGAGCUUAAUGAACUAUCACUAUUUAAUGUUCCAUUAACAGGUGAUCAAGUAAGAUGGAAAUUUAGUGCGCUAAAAAAUCGUAUAAUAAAAAGAAAAAUCGUACAAGUGGAAAUGCUCCAAAGAUCUUUGAUGACGUUGAAGAACUAAUGGAUAUUUUGGGUGAUAAAAAUAGUAAUUUUAAUAAAGAAAAUAGCUUUAAUUCACCAAUAUUGGAGCAUAAUGUAUCCAAUCAGCAUGAAGUUCAAAAUGCAACAACUGAUUGUGAGUUACAAAAUGUUAAUAUGGAGCAAGAAUCGAAUAGUA